AAAAAGUGAAGAAAUCAAGGAAACAAGCUAGGUGGUGAGACGUCCGGAAAAGGCAAAGGAAUUACGCCUGAGGACUAUUAGUCAGAGUUCACCCGGAAUCCGGAUUUUCGACACCUAUCAGGUGACUGUUGGACCCUAGAUCGAGGAGUCCCCGU